AUCGAACGCUGGCGGCAGGCCUAACACAUGCAAGUCGAACGAGUGGCGGACGGGUGAGUAAUGUCUGGGAAACUGCCUGAUGGAGGGGGAUAACUCCUGGAAACGGUAGCUAAUACCGCAUACCAUCAGAUGUGCCCAGGUGGGAUUAGCUAGUUGGUGGGGUAACGGCUCACCAAGGCGACGAUCCCUAGCUGGUCUGAGAGGGUGACCAGCCACACUGGAACUGAGACACGGUCCAGAUUCCUACGGGAGGCAGCAGUAGGGAAUAUUGCGCAAUGGGCGAAAGCCUGAUGCAGCCACGCCGCGUGUGUGAAGAAGGCCUUCGGGUCGUAAAGUACUGUCAGCGGGGAGGCGUUACCCGCAGAAGAAGCACCGGCUAACUCCGUGCCAGCAGCCGCGGUAAUAC
rnacentral:rRNA from 1 species